UCCAAAUGAUACUUCUUCUAACAUUGCUAUACUGUUGGCAACAUUGCAGCAAUGUUGCCAACAGUAUAGCAAUGUUAGAAGAAGUAUCAUUUGGAA
rfam:Strigamia maritima strain Brora ctg7180001225335, whole genome shotgun sequence.